CCUUGACAUACUAAGAACUUUCCAGAGAUGGAUUGGUGCCUUCGGGAACUUUAGAUACAGGUGCUGCAUGGCUGUCGUCAGCUCGUGUCGUGAGAUGUUGGGUUAAGUCCCGNAACGAGCGCAACCCUUUUCCUUAUUUGCCAGCGGGUCAUGCCGGGAACUUUAAGGAUACUGCCAGUGACAAACUGGAGGAAGGCGGGGACGACGUCAAGUCAUCAUGGCCCUUACGGCCAGGGCUACACACGUGCUACAAUGGUCGGUACAAAGGGUUGCUACCUCGCGAGAGGAUGCUAAUCUCAAAAAGCCGAUCGUAGUCCGGAUCGCAGUCUGCAACUCGACUGCGUGAAGUCGGAAUCGCUAGUAAUCGCGGAUCAGAAUGCCGCGGUGAAUACGUUCCCGGGCCUUGUACACACCGCCCGUCACACCAUGGGAGUUUGUUGCACCAGAAGUAGGUAGUCUAACCGCAAGGAGGACGCUUACCACGGUGUGGCCGAUGACUGGGGUGAAGUCGUAACAAGGUAGGCGUAGAUGA
rnacentral:rRNA from 1 species